rnacentral:rRNA from 1 species
AUUGAACGCUGGCGGCAGGCCUAACACAUGCAAGUCGAACGAGUGGCGGACGGGUGAGUAAUGUCUGGGAAAAUGCCUGAUGGAGGGGGAUAACUACUGGAAACGGUAGCUAAUCCCGCAUACCAUCAGGUGUUACCAGAUGGGAUUAGCUAGUUGGUGGGGUAACGGCUCACCAAGGCGACGAACCCUAGCUGGUCUGAGAGGAUGACCCGCCACACUGGAACUGAGACACGGGCCAAACUCCUACGGGAGGCAGGAGUGGUGAAUAUUGCACAAUGGGCGCAAGCCUGAUGCAGCCAUGCCGCGUGUAUGAAGAAGUCCUUCGGGUUGUAAAGUACUUUCAGCUGGGAGGCGUUACCCGCAGAAGAAGCACCGGCUAACUCCGUGCCAGCAGCCGCGGUAAUUC